rnacentral:misc_RNA from 1 species
GAUGAAGAACGUAGUGAAAUGCGAUACUUGGUGUGAAUUGCAGAAUCCCGUGAACCAUCGAGUCUUUGAACGCAAGUUGCGCCCGAAGCCAUUAGGCCGAGGGCACGCCUGCCUGGGCGUCACACGUCGUUGCCCCCCCAUCUACUCCUUCGGGAUUGCGGGGGGCGGAUGAUGGACUCUCGUGCGCCUCGUCGCGCGGUUGGCCUAAAUGCCAAGUCCUCGGCGACGCACGCCACGACAAUCGGUGGUUGCGAAACCUCGGUUGCCUGUCGUGUGCGGUCGUCGCGCAUCGAGGGCUCGAAAAAAUUGCCGGGCUUCGGCUCGACUUUCAACGCGACCCCAGGUCAGGCGGGGUUACCCGCUGAAUUUAAGCAUAUCAAUAAGCGGAGGA